GCGGAAGGAUCAUUGA
rnacentral:rRNA from 1 species